rnacentral:rRNA from 1 species
GACAGAGGUGCCGAGCGUUAGGCGGAAUCACUGGGCUUAAAGCGUGUGUAGGCGGGCGGGCAAGUACCUUGUGAAAUCCCACGGCUCAACCGUGGAACGGCUGGGUAUACUGCCUGUCUUGAGCCAACUAGGGGCGAGCGGAACAGACGGUGGAGCGGUGAAAUGCGUAGAUAUCAGGAGGAACACCAGCGGCGAAGGCGGCGCUCUGGGCCGGUACUGACACUGAGGAGCGAAAGCGUGGGGAGCAAACAGG